CCUCCUCUUCUCUGUGGGCUGCAGGGGCUGAUGGGAGCUUUGGUUCCUCUGCUAGAAACCACGUGGCCCUGGUCUGAUCUCUCAGCUCGUCCUUGUUUGGCCUCAGCUGCAUCAGAGCGCCACUUCUCCCCAGGUUCACCAGAGGAAACUCCACUGCACACAAUGCUUUUCCUCCCAGCUGCUGCUCUGUGCUGGCUGGGUUCAGCGCUGGCUGCCAUGGCAACACACCUGGUUCAGGACGAUUUAACUCUGACCAGGAGAACCGGGCAGAGCGUCUCCUUCAGCUGUGGAGGAACUGAUCAGUGUGGUAGUAAUUAUGUUUACUGGUACCAGAAGAAAGAAACAGAAACAUUCAGAGCUAUUCUCUAUAUCUCCAGUGGUGGUAGCCCAACAAAACCUUACAAUCAUCCUCAGCAAGAUGAUUUCUCAGCUGAGAGAGAUCGGAGCAGCAGUUCGUUGAAGAUCAACAAAGUUAAACUGGAUCAUUCAGCCUCCUACUACUGCGGCUGUUGGAAGUCUGGUUCCCACAGUGAGAAAUGAUUCCUUCAGCCUGAACAAAAACCUCCAGAUGAUCAGAUGUCAGUUUGUGACAUAGAGAGCAGUAAACCACAGCCCAGGUUCACUGAUUUCACCUCCAUCUCACACAGAGACUCUCUGAGUUUUAGUCUUUAAUGUUUCAUCAUUUUGU